rnacentral:rRNA from 1 species
CUAGUGUGGGGAACAUCCCGUUUCCGGCGCAAGUUAAGCAUAAGCGCCCCGCUGGGGAGUACGCGCAGCUAAACUCAAAGAUUGAACGGGGGCCGCACAAGCGGCCGAGGCAUGCGGCUUAAUUCGAUGCACGCGAAGAACCUUACCUGGGUUUGACAUAUGGGGAAAACUGGCAGAGAUGUCAGGUCCGCAAGGGCCCCAUACAGGUGGUGCAUGGCUGUCGUCAGCUCGUGUCGUGAGAUGUUGGGUUAAGUCCGCAACGAGCGCAACCCUCGUCCUAUGUUGCCAGCGAGUAAUGUCGGGGACUCAUAGGAGACUGCCGGGGUCAACUCGGAGGAAGGUGGGGAUGACGUCAAGUCAUCAUGCCCCCUUAUGUCCAGGGCUGCACGCAUGCUACAAUGGCCGGUACAAAGGGCUGCAAAACCGCAAGGUGGAGCGAAUCCCAAAAAGCCGGUCUCAGUUCGGAUUGGGGUCUGCAACUCGACCCCAUGAAGUCGGAGUCGCUAGUAAUCGCAGAUCAGCAACGCUGCGGUGAAUACGUUCCCGGGCCUUGUACACACCGCCCGUCAAGUCACGAAAGUCGGUAACACCCGAAGCCGGUGGCCCAACCGCAAGGAGGGAGCCGUCGAAGGUGGGACUGGCGAUUGGGACUAAGUCGUAACAAGGUAA